rnacentral:lncRNA from 1 species
CUCAGAGCCCUGUCCCUCCUCUCCAUGAUCCCCACCUCAGCGCACACCUCAGGGGUCCCGGUGCUGAGUGGCGCCAGUGGAGCAGGAAGGCAGCUGUGUGGACACCGUCUCCCAGACCCACUAGGCCUCCUGUAGGCGCAGCGCUAAGAACCCUCACAGGCAGCACAGCAAGAGAGCCGAGCCCCGCUGGCACCACCAGGGACCCUGGGCCACAGACUCAGCUGCUGCCAUCACCUCCGCACUCCUCCUCCCCUUUCCUUCUCUCCUCUCCCCCUUGGCCUCUCUCCUCUUCCUCUCUCUCCUCCCCUCCCUCUUGCUGGCCUUCUCUUGCUACAUACUGUCCCUGCAGCGCAGCCCGGGACGUGGGCACAGGUGAGGCCCCCACACUCACGUGAGCCUUUGGCAAGCAGGCGGUGGCUCUGGGCCCACAAUGGCAGUGUGGCUCCCAGGCCAGGGUCUCAAGUGCAGGCGUCCCACCUGGCCCUCACUGGGCCUCACUCAGCAAGGUGUCCCCGCUCUCCAGGCCCCAUCACGGAGGCAGCAGCUGUCAUGGGGGAGCCACGGCAAGAAAGAGCAAGCCCAGCAGGCCCCAGCACGGCCUCCGAGGCUGCCCCAUGACCAGACACCCAGGCCAGCCCAGGGCAGGACUUUGUGAUGCGAUAAACAGGCCAGCCUGGUCCUUUGUCCCCUGGCUUCCCUGUGGCCACAUCCGGGGGGGAGGUCCCCUGGGGGACAGCCAGCCCCACUGUGUUUGCACCUCCUGCACCAGCUGGUUGCCUCCACGAGCCUGUUCGUCACCAGGUGGCACAGCGUCUGGCAUGUUGAUGUCCCCUGAGCAAAUGAAGGGCCAGCGCCUUGAUCCCCCCCAGUGGUCAGCACCACCUCAGAGGGGACGACCUGGGGACGGACUCUGGGGCAGAUGUCGUGUGACCUGGAUGCACCCCAUCCCGGUCCUCAGCCGUUCUCCCGAGGACAGGAGGCACGUCUGGCGGGACAGCGCCCUCGGAGUGUGGGAUCCACUUGAAGGAAAGGCCCAGACUCCAAGUCGGCCACAGAG